rnacentral:misc_RNA from 1 species
GAUGAAGAACGUAGCGAAAUGCGAUAAGUAAUGUGAAUUGCAGAAUUCAGUGAAUCAUCGAAUCUUUGAACGCACAUUGCGCCCCUUGGUAUUCCGAGGGGCAUGCCCGUUCGAGCGUCAUUAUACCCCUCAAGCCUAGCUUGGUGUUGGGGCCUGCUGUUACCGGCAGCCCUUAAAAUCAGUGGCGGUGCCAUCUGGCUCUAAGCGUAGUAAUACUUCUCGCUACAGGGUCCCGGUGGAUGCUUGCCAUCAACCCCUAAUUUUCUAUGGUUGACCUCGGAUCGGGUAGGGAUACCCGCUGAACUUAAGCAUAUCAAUAAGCGGAUGA